GAUGAACGCUGGCGGCGUGCCUAACACAUGCAAGUCGAGCGGGAUCUUGCUAAAUGACGCUUCGGUUGAUUUUAGUAAGUGAGAGCGGCGGACGGGUGAGUAACGCGUAGGCAACCUGCCCUUUGCAGAGGGAUAGCCAUUGGAAACGAUGAUUAAAACCUCAUAAUGCCAGACUGAGACAUCUCUAACUGGCCAAAGAUUUAUCGGCAAAGGAUGGGCCUGCGUCUGAUUAGCUAGUUGUGGGGUAACGGCCUACCAAGGCGACGAUCAGUAGCCGACCUGAGAGGGUGAUCGGCCACAUUGGAACUGAGACACGGUCCAAACUCCUACGGAGGCAGCAGUGGGGAAUACUUGCACAAUGGGCGAAAGCCUGAUGCAGCAACGCC
rnacentral:rRNA from 1 species